rnacentral:rRNA from 1 species
AUACGGAGGGUGCAAGCGUUAUUCGGAAUCACUGGGCGUAAAGGACGCGUAGGCGGGUUGGCAAGUCAGAUGUGAAAUCCUACAGCUUAACUGUAGAACUGCAUUUGAAACUGCUAACCUAGAGUAUGGGAGUGGGAGAUGGAAUUAGUGGUGUAGGGGUAAAAUCCGUAGAUAUCACUAGGAAUACCGAAAGCGAAGGCGAUCUCCUGGAACAUAACUGACGCUAAGGCGUGAAAGCGUGGGGAGCAAACAGGAUUAGAAACCCUAGUAGUCC